UGUGAAUUUCACUUCCUGACAUUUUCAGUGUGAGUGAACCCAGGUAAGCAUGUGUCCCUGACCUCAAAUAUGGUUUUUCCAUUUAUUUUGGAUGGCCACUGCUGAAAAGUAUCCUGCUGAAGGGGUAGGUCCAAAUCAAUCUGGGAGAGGCCAAGCAUAGUUUUUUGAGGAGUGAAACUUCCAGCAGCAAACCGCUUGGAUAAUUACUCAAGGUUUUCCCUACAGUAUUUUCUAAGGCAAUGUGUAAGUAUAAUUAAGGCUGUUUGAACAUGUAUUCUCUCCGCAGGAUAAUAAGGAUAAUAUGUAAGAAUCUGUUGCUGAUUUAUGUGUUUGCUGUCUUCAAGAAAGACUGUGACAAGGCUUUUCAAAUGGAGGAUCUGAUUUUUGCUCAAGACGGUGCCUGUUUUAAAAGUAGUUGUUUUACCACUAUUAGAAUAUUAUUUAAGGGCGGGGCACACCUGUGAUCCCAGCACUUUGGGAGGCCGAGG
rnacentral:lncRNA from 1 species